CGGAUUAGUCUUAAAUAGUUAAGUAUUUCACUUACGCUGAAAUAGUAUGUUGUGCAAAUCAAUAUAAUCUGA
rnacentral:tRNA from 1 species